rnacentral:lncRNA from 1 species
GAUGGCUAGCUGCUCCUCAAUGCUUGGCUUUUCCAGAUGCUCAACGAAGACCCCUUGAUUGAUGUUGGUGUAUCCUAAGGUGGCGAGUCAAGAUAGGACAUCAAUUUGGAUAUUUGCCAAUCUCAGUAUUUACUGCACCUCUAAAUUCUGGAAAAUCAUCAAGAGUCCUUCAACUUAUCUAGGUACCAAAAUAUCGUCAGAUCUUGAGCUUCAUACUUACCCC